GCAACACAGAGAUUAGCGUGGCCCCUGCUCAAGGAUGACACGCAAAUUCGUGAAGCCUACUAUAUUAAA
rnacentral:snRNA from 1 species